rnacentral:rRNA from 1 species
UACGUAGGGGGCUAGCGUUAUCCGGAAUUACUGGGCGUAAAGGGUGCGUAGGCGGUCUUUCAAGCCAGAAGUGAAAGGCUACGGCUCAACCGUAGUAAGCUUUUGGAACUGUAGGACUUGAGUGCAGGAGAGGAGAGUGGAAUUCCUAGUGUAGCGGUGAAAUGCGUAGAUAUUAGGAGGAACACCAGUAGCGAAGGCGGCUCUCUGGACUGUAACUGACGCUGAGGCACGAAAGCGUGGGGAGUGAACAGG